CCUACGGGAGGCAUCAGUGGGGGAUAUUGCACAAUGGGGGCAACCCUGAUGCAGCGACGCCGCGUGGGUGAAGGAGCGUUUCGGCGCGUAAAGCCCUAUCAGCAGGGAAGAAGAAAUGACGGUACCUGAGUAAGAAGCAUCAGCUAAAUACGUGCCAGCAGCCGCGGUAAUACGUAUGGUGCAAGCGUUAUCCGGAUUUACUGGGUGUAAAGGGAGCGCAGGCGGGACGGCAAGUCUGAUGUGAAAGCUCGCGGCCCAACCGCGGGACUGCAUUGGGAACUACCGGUCUGGAGUGCCGGAGAGGUAGGCGGAAUUCCUAGUGUAGCGGUGAAAUGCGUAGAUAUUAGGAGGAACACCAGUGGCGAAGGCGGCCUACUGGACGGUGACUGACGCUGAGGCUCGAAAGCGUGGGGAGCAAACAGGAUUAGAUACCCCAGUAGUC
rnacentral:rRNA from 1 species